AAAGCCUCCCCCAUGCCUUGUCACUAGGGUCUCCGCUUUCAAACUCAGAACAACCUCUUAUUGUCUCCUAAGCACAUUUUCCCCCCUCAGAGCCUGUGUGUUCAUUGGACCGUGGAAAGAACCUUCCAGAGCCCAGCGCAUUUCCUAAGACUGCCAGCCUGGAAGGAGCUGGGGAAGGAGAUGGGUGCCGGGGGAAGAAACGGAGAUCACACUCAGAAGGAUUCAGCAACUCAGGUGUGGGGAAGUCAGGUUCGGCCUCUGGAGAAGAAUUACACCCUCCAAAGCCAAGCUGAUGACGCUGCCGUAGACUUGUGGGAGCUGCAGACGACGGGAGAAAGAUCCCAAGAGAACAGCUCGUCUGGGGUCAGGAUGCGUGAGCGGGUGCGGCUUCCCAGCACGGAACCACAGUCAGGCUGGUAGCCCGGGGGCGUCUGGGGGACCCCACCCCGGCCUCCAAACCACAGAGCCUCUGGCGGCAAUCCAGAGCGGCAGCGAGGGAGGUUGCAAAGAUGGAUGACCUGACUCGCGAAGGGGCACCCUGCCUGGUCCCUGGCACGGAUGCGGCUGGCGAUAGGCAGUAAGAGAAGCAGAAGGAAGAAAGUUUGAAAUUCAGUUCUCAUUCUCAGAAUGCACACGCAGUGGGGCCGUUCAUGUACUGCUCACACUGUGCGUCAGAUGGAACCAAGGGGGGGCCUCUCCCCCUCUGGGUGCUACAAGCACCGGCAGGCUGAAGCUGGGAGGCCUUGAAGGACAGGGGGGCUUAAAGAGCCAAAGGGAAGGGUCUUCCUCUUCCACUCCCCCCCAGGGGGAAUAGUCUGACAAAGCCUCGGAAGGAGGGGUGAAUAGAGCCACUCCAGGAUGCGUUGAGCGGACUAGCCAGCCGGCUCAUGCACACACCCAGGCACGUCCUUGCACACAGGUCCGCACUGACUGAGGUGAUGGCCAUGAACACGAUCACGUCCAAAAUCAAGCUUCUCGCACAAUCAUGAAGUAAUUAACAAGAACUAGGUGCAGCACAGCCUCCGGUGCGCACGGCUGCUGACCGCCCUCUCUACUCCUUGUCCGCCCUCGUCUGCUCAUCCGAAUGCCUGGUUCCACCCGGAGACCUGGAUACGACAGGUCUGGGGCAGAAUCCAGGCUUCUGUAUUUUUAUACAUGCUCCAGGGGUGCGCCUGGAGGAGAGCCCUCCAUGCAUCCCAGGCAGGCACCCAGUCAGGACCUGAGAGUUUCUGCUUCGGGAGCACAUCGGUAACACCUCUGGAAAGAUGAGGCAUUGAGAGAGGAGGCCACGCCACUCCGCUGUGCCUACAGAUGGCUACAGCCACAGGGAGCAAGACGGGCCAGAAAAAUCCUAGGACGCGAGAGAGAGAAGGGAUGGCUGUGCAUUGAGGCAUCGUUGGGAUCUCAGCAGGAAUAAGAUGGCACUCUUAAGAGAGGAUCAUUCCAGAAGGUCUGUGGGCAGCAUGAGGGGAACCCCAGGGGUGGCACAGGAACAUGGCAACAGCACCCCUUACCACCCCGAGUGCAGUUACCGUACCUCAGGGGAGCCUCAUGUGGUCAGCUGAGGCCACCUUGAGAGGAACAGGAACCUGGGAUCAAGGGGCAAUUCGAGCCUGAGGUGUCCUCACAAGGAGUGAGCUCGGGAUAUAAGAGGAAGGACUGACGAUCCCAAAUUCUUUCUUCCCUUCCUCUAGUCCCAAACUCAGUGGAAACCAACGGCCUGCUUGUGUACCCAUGCGUGUCAGCCUCUGAGGCAGAAAUAGGCGGACAGCGUGGGGAGCAGUUCCCGGGGAGAAAUGGGAGCUGUCAGCCCCCCUCCAAUGGUCAGAAGGAUUCUGAGUGACUACGACACAUUUGCCCGGCUCUGGAGGAGGCCGUGUGCUCCUGCCCACGCUGAAAGGGCUAUUAGCCAACCUGAUCACAGCCCCUGAGUGCGGAACAUGCAAGACCGUGCCAGCCACCUGGAGCCCCUCCCCAGCCCCAACCAAGCAGAAAUCAUCCUGUGCAGACACCGCGGCUCUGAGGAAUUCAACGGUCUGCCUGAAAACGCUGAGCUGGACAGCCACCAGGAGGGAUUCCAACCCAGGUCUACACCACCAGAGCUCGGGCUCUGUCCAUCCUGUCACCUGCCUCCCCCUGGAAGGGAAGAUGAGUGCGUGUGAAUAAGGAGAAUGUUCCCUGGGUACCGCAACCUAAAGCAGAAAUACAUUUGCUCCACGAGCGACGCAGGGAUUAGGUGCAGUGACCACAGAGCAGUUAAAGAUACACAUAGAACCGUUGACUCCCCCGAAACUUAAAUGCUACAAGCUUACUGUUGACACAUAUUUUGUAUGUUCUAUGCUUGAUAACCUGUACUCUUACAAUAAAGUAAGCUGGAGAGAGGAAACUGUUACUAGAAAAUCAUAAGGAAGAAAGGCACCUGGGAGGCACAGUCGGUCAAGUGUCCAAACCUUGCUUUCAGCUCAGGUUGCGAUCUCAGGGUUGCGGGAUCGACCUACAUCGGGCUCCAUACUCGGCACAGAGUCUGGAUGGGUUUCUCUCUCCUUCUGCCCCUCCCCCCAGUUUAGUCUCUCUCAAAUAAAUAAAUAAAUAAA